UUCCCCUUCCCAUUCAUUUCUCUUUUAUCUCUGGCAGAGGAGAGAGCUUUUCUCCUACGGUGGUUGGUGAUCUCCCCCGGCCAGGACAUGGGUACCCCAGCGGGCGGCUGUGAGAUCGGUAAAGGCCACCGGAGCGAGGAACCGGGAGGAGCCCGCUUGAUCUCGUCCCCGUGUUUCGUCGCUGUAAGUGAGAAGUAUGGGUUUGUGUAGAUGCCGGGGAGCUGGGUUCCUCCAUGCCGGAGCUUCCAGCGAGCGGCCACCAUUUCGAGGAUGCAGUAGGAGGCUGCGGCGCCGGCGUUUGGCAAACCUGCAGCAACAAGUUUGGUCUAGGACGAGAAUUGCUGAAGCUCGGGAACCCGGUGCAGCCGGAGAACUCCCAGAUUAUGUGGUUAAUGUGGUCGAUUCUUUCGUCAGAACAUAUAUAAUCUCAAUGGAGGGCCAGGGCCAUGGGAAGCCUGCCUAAGUAGGGCACAAGAAAGUUGUGCGUUCUUUUUCAGUCUCAUAGGUUUUUUGCUUUAAUUUUGCUCUCAAUCGAUCUCUAGCUCAUUUAUUCUUCAAUUUUUCUUAAAUUUGCAAAGUGAAAAUAUCCAAAGUAUAUAGCUAGAUGAUGGUUAAUCCGAAGUAACCAAAAAUUAAUUUCCACAACUAUGUAAAACUACAUAAAGUAGUACUACCAUAAAUUGUGUCUAUUCACCAUUGUUCUGAGCGAAGAUGUUGUAGUAGCUAGGUUUAGAACUGCAGAAACGUCAUUCUGUUACGAUACUAGUUGCUAGGAUUAGAACUGCUGGCAUUGUUCACAACAAAUAGGCUUCCACUACUUUGCAUUUGUCGUUGUUGCGCAUGACGAUGCGGAUGAGCAAUGUUGCCGCUGCCCCCUUUCUUCACGUAUCUUCCAGGAUGAAUCCACAAUCAAUAUUUUCUUCAGUUUUGCAAGUCCCUGUAGUCUAUAUUUAAACUUGCAUUUGCUGGUUACUGAACUUUUCUUUUCACUCAUUUUUAUCGUUCUUUUCAGCCUGUCAUGUCAUUUCUGUAGUUAGUAUUUUCUCAAUUUCCUCUGUUUUGCAUAUUCUCAAUUACUAACACUUGACCAUUUUUGGUGCAGUCAAAAUAGGCAUACGAGGGGGAGAGCUAGAUAUUUCUACUACGUUGAUCAAGAGAGAGAGAGAGUGAGAGAGAUGCUCUCUCUCUCUGAUCCUACAUUUUAUCUCGUUUUUCUUGUGCACCCCCUGCCGGUGUGCCGGUGUUGGUGUUUGUGCAUAAAGAGGAAGAAGAGAGAAUGCUGAGAUGGGGGCAGUUGGUAGAAUGGGCUGGCAACUGCAAUGCCUAGGAUGUUCUCUUUUUGUAAGGCCAAGAAGUACGUAGUUGCAACAAUAGUGUGUAAAUUAUCCCAUGUUUUGACUUUUAUUUAGGUAGCAUAGAAGGCUUUAGUUUUCGGGAGCUGGCCAGGCGUGAUUCGAGAAAACCGAGAAAAACCAGACUGAAGUAAUGAACAGUUUUUUUUGGUUUUGCUGUUCAGAAUGAAGUAAUGAAUGGGGA